GCAGUCGACGGAAAGGCCCUUCGGGGUACUCGAGUGGCGAACGGGUGAGUAACACGUGGGUGAUCUGCCCUGCACUUUGGGAUAAGCCUGGGAAACUGGGUCUAAUACCGGAUAGGACCACGGCAUGCAUGUGCUGUGGUGGAAAGCUUUUGCGGUGUGGGAUGGGCCCGCGGCCUAUCAGCUUGUUGGUGGGGUGAUGGCCUACCAAGGCGACGACGGGUAGCCGGCCUGAGAGGGUGUCCGGCCACACUGGGACUGAGAUACGGCCCAGACUCCUACGGGAGGCAGCAGUGGGGAAUAUUGCACAAUGGGCGCAAGCCUGAUGCAGCGACGCCGCGUGAGGGAUGACGGCCUUCGGGUUGUAAACCUCUUUCGCCUACGACGAAGCGCAAGUGACGGUAGUAGGAGAAGAAGCACCGGCCAACUACGUGCCAGCAGCCGCGGUAAUACGUAGGGUGCGAGCGUUGUCCGGAAUUACUGGGCGUAAAGAGCUCGUAGGUGGUUUGUCGCGUUGUUCGUGAAAACUCACAGCUUAACUGUGGGCGUGCGGGCGAUACGGGCAGACUGGAGUACUGCAGGGGAGACUGGAAUUCCUGGUGUAGCGGUGGAAUGCGCAGAUAUCAGGAGGAACACCGGUGGCGAAGGCGGGA
rnacentral:rRNA from 1 species